UCAAGUGAAAAGCAUGUCCAAGCAUAAUUUUAUAUUUUUAAAUACUACUUUUCAACUUAACUAAAAAACUUUAAUCUUAAGCGAGUCUCCCACAAAUAUUAGGAGGUGGAAUAAUACUUUAAUUUAAAAUCGUAUUCCGCCUUUGAGUCAAACAUCAACAGCCUACCAAGUCAAUUAAAUCAACUUUGUAUUUUCUUUUUCUUUUUUAUUUAAUCCUAGUCAUAUCUUUUACCCAACUACUACAACUUUUCUUCUUUGUUUCCUUGAAAAUUCACACACAUAAUUACAUUCGUAUAUAAACUAUGACGAGACCCUCUUUUUUCUCCACCAUAUAUAUUCUUUCCUCUGUAAACUGCAAAAUCCCCUUUCUCUUCUCUUAAUAUAUCUCUCAAAAUUUUCUAAUUUGUUUCUUCUUGAAUUUGAAGAUGAAUUCAGUUAGAUUGAUGAGCCUCUCAUCUAUUAUUGGAUUUUUGUUGUUGGCUUUGGUUGAGUUUAGUUUUGGACAAGACAUGGCUCCUUCUUCAGCCCCACUUCCUUCAAAUGACGGUAACAUCUUUUUUCCCUUCUUUCAAUCUUCUUCUUCUUUUGAGUUUAACUUAUAUAUACUAGGCACUAGUUGUGUAUAAUAAUUUUAACGCUAUCAAUUCACCUAACAGAUAAUUACAUGCAGAUUAGUAAUCUUAAAAAUAAGACAAGCAACAAUAUAACAGGUUAAGUUGCAUUGGUAGAAAAAUCUUUUACACUAUACAAGUUAAAGAUAUAAGUUAUAUAUACCGGCAGUGUUUUAAUUAUUAUUUUUUUACAAUAUUAAAGUAGUUUAAUACUAUGUGAUAACAGAUUUACAAGUAAACUUGAUUAUAUAAAUAUAUUUUUCAACCGAUUGUAUAUAGAACUUAAACUCGUAAAAUCUUCUUCUCUUAGAUUUUCCAUAAAUACACUUUAAAAUUUAAAUAUGAAGAAAUUGAUUUGGAAUUCUUUUGCAGGCACAGCGAUUGAUCAAGGGAUUGCUUAUGUUCUUCUACUUGUUGCACUUGCGAUUACGUACUUGGUCCAUUAGUACACUCGUGGAGUUAUUUUUUUAAGCUUAUAAUCGAUUUUUUUAUUCAUCAUUUAAAUUCUUUAUGUAAUUUUCUCCUGUUCAGAAUGGAGAAUUUUAAAGUUUUGUGAUUAAAGGAAAUAAGGAAAGAAUUCUUAUUUGUGAUACAAAAUUCAUUUUUCUACGUUAUUGCGAAUUAUUGUACCUAAUUGUUUGUGCCUUUUUGUUAGUUGUUAAGCUGGUUUGACCCGUCUAGAUGAAUAGCUUGAACAACAAAAACGUCCAGCAAUAUAUAUAGCUGUUUGCGUUUGAAUUUGGGCUUUAACUAAAGUCUUUGGGCUUGGGCUAAAGUCUUUCAAUUUAUUAUAGUAGUUUUUAUUUCUAAAAUAUAACAUAAAAAUAGCAC
rnacentral:lncRNA from 1 species